AACGAACGCUGGCGGCGUGCCUAACACAUGCAAGUCGAGCGCGAAUGGAGCAAUCCUAGUAGAGCGGCGCACGGGUGCGUAACACGUGGGUAAUCUGCCUCAAAGCCCGGGAUAACCUGCCGAAAGGCAAGCUAAUACCGGAUAAGCCUACGGACUCUUCGGGGUCUGAAGGAAAAGGUGGCCUCUGUAUACAAGCUAUCACUUUGAGAUGAGCCCGCGGCCCAUCAGCUCGUUGGCGGGGUAACGGCCCACCAAGGCAACGACGGGUAGCUGGUCUGAGAGGACGAUCAGCCACACUGGAACUGAGACACGGUCCAGACUCCUACGGGAGGCAGCAGUGGGGAAUUUUGCGCAAUGGGCGAAAGCCUGACGCAGCAACGCCGCGUGUGUGAUGAAGGUC
rnacentral:rRNA from 1 species